rnacentral:tRNA from 1 species
GCGCCUAUAGCUCAAUUGGAUAGAGCACUGGUUUCCGGGGCCUGGGAUUCCGGUUCAAAUCCGGAUAGGCGCG